UACGUAGGGCGCAAGCGUUAUCCGGCAUUAUUGGGCGUAAAGAGCUCGUAGGCGGUUUGUCGCGUCUGCCGUGAAAGUCCGGGGCUCAACUCCGGAUCUGCGGUGGGUACGGGCAGACUAGAGUGAUGUAGGGGAGACUGGAAUUCCUGGUGUAGCGGUGAAAUGCGCAGAUAUCAGGAGGAACACCGGUGGCGAAGGCGGUUCUCUGGGAAUAUCCUGACGCUGAGGAGCGAAAGUGUGGGGAGCGAACAGG
rnacentral:rRNA from 1 species